UACGUAGGGGGCAAGCGUUGUCCGGAAUCAUUGGGCGUAAAGCGCGCGUAGGCGGUCCGGUAAGUCCGUUGUGAAAGUCAAAGGCUCAACCUUUGAAUGCCGACGGAUACUGCCGGGCUAGAGUACGGAAGAGGCGAGUGGAAUUCCUGGUGUAGCGGUGGAAUGCGCAGAUAUCAGGAGGAACACCUAUAGCGAAGGCAGCUCGCUGGGACGUUACUGACGCUGAGGCGCGAAAGCGUGGGGAGCGAACAGG
rnacentral:rRNA from 1 species